rnacentral:misc_RNA from 1 species
AAGAAGAAGAAGAAGAAGAAGAAGAUGAGCAGGAAACCGCUUAUGAUUCUGACGAGAAAGUCCACAUCAUCGGAAUCGACGCUGACUCCGACUCCGACAACGCACCGCCAUUCUCAUGGAGAAAGCUUUGGCUUUUCACUGGUCCCGGUUUCUUAAUGUCCAUAGCGUUCCUUGAUCCCGGGAAUUUGGAGGGGGAUCUUCAGGCUGGAGCGAUUGCUGGGUAUUCGUUACUCUGGCUCCUCUUGUGGGCCACGGCUAUUGGGCUUCUCGUUCAGCUCCUGGCGGCUCGGCUCGGCGGGGGGACUGGGGGGCAUUUGG